UAUCUUGAAAGAGGUUGAAGUUCACAUUUUCCAAACAAGGUGAAGAACUUCAUUGUUAACGUUUUCUGUGCCAAUUCACCAUCUAAUACUUAGCAACUCUAAAGUAAUCUCCAAGACCACAUGACAGAAGACAUACUGUAUCAUACACAACAAAGCUCAGAAGACCCACACCAAGAGUUUACCUCUACCAAGUACAACCAGAUACUAAACCUCAUUGAAAAUACUGUUCAGCCCAUGGCUGAUAAGAUCUUGAACAGUGUCCCAGCUCCAGGAUGAAUUGCAGGUGUAACUCUCAGUCAUGAGAUUUUUCAGCUAACCAGCUAUGACAUUCAGCAAAUGGAGCAAUAUGUAUGCCAAAAUGAGUUACUCUUAGAGCCAGAUACAAAAGAAAAAAGAGCUUAAAAAAUUAUCAAACAACUGAUGUCACCUGACUCCAGAGGAAUAAUUUUCCUUGAUAUUUCUGGUGGAACAGGAAAAACUAAUCUCAACAAAGUCUGUUCACUUGAGCAAAUUGCUAUGGUAUUAGAUAUAUCUGAAAUUGUUGUAACUAUGCUCACAAGGAGUAGGACUUCUCAUACUGCUUUUAAGCUGCCACUCAACCUUUCACAUAGUGACAACCCUGUGUUCAAUAUUUAUAAAGGAUCUGGACAGGAUGAGGUUCUGAAGUAGACCAAGCUGGCAGAAUAAAGAGUGUGCAUAAUGAUACAUAGACUUACAUUUGAGGUCCUCUAUCAUACCUUAGAAGUAGGGCCGUCACUAAGUCUCUGCAACCCCUGUGACUGCAGGGAGCCUCCGCAGUUGAGGGGGGGGCAUGUUCAGAUCAGAGUACAUAGAUGAGUCAUCUAUUUACUUUGGUUAAGAAGUUAACUGAAAAUUUCAAGGCAGACAAGGAAAAAAAUAUGAGGAUGUACCAUAAAUAAAUUUAAAAGAAACAAAAAAAGUAAAUGAAGAAAGCUUGCCAACGAAUUCCCUAGGGAGAUAAAAGAAAAAUGAAAGAAAUCUAAAAGGAUGAAAAUAAGAACAACUUCAACAGAAAAGACAAGAAAAAGAAACAAUGGUGAUGAAAGCCUUUAGCCAAGAAAGAAAGCCUUUAGUCAAGAAAGAAAGCACAAAUCUGGAGACAGAAGAUAUACAGGACUGCCCUUUAACUGCAUAAAGUGAUUAGAUAUCUUUGACCUGAAAACUACAGGGGUGCAAGGAUAUCUAAAAAUGGCUACCACCCCACAGCAAUGCAGCUAAUGUGUACUGGAAUCUGCAAGAUCAAACAGUGUUGUGGCUGUGCAACAUGCUUUCAGACUCAAGUAUCAUACGAAAUGGUGGAUUUUGAAAAAUUAUAACAUGUAAACACAAGGCAUGUUCUGUAUCACCUUGUCUUUAUAUGUUAAUCUUGGCUUUCCUGCUGAUGAGAGCUUCGUCUUGUAAAUUAUUUUAUUUGGUGAAGAUAGCUUGAAACCAUGGUACAGGAAAU